rnacentral:misc_RNA from 1 species
GUCAGAGUCUGAUGAUGGUGAUUCUGAUCAACCAAAGUGCACUGGUGAAGGGGAACAUAAAGAUGCGUACUCUGAUGCCUAAUGGUUCGCGUCCCCUGAGUUCUGUUCCCUUUUAAGUAGUUCUCAUCCCCGGUGAAGUCAUUAGUUUGUGUACAUAGUUGUUUGUCGCCCGAGCAUCUAGAUAUAUACCCCCUCUUAUUUCUGCGAUUAUUUUUAGCAAAGUUAUGAGGAUGGCUUUAUUCUUUAGGUUCAUUUCUAGCUUACAGUAUAUACCAAAGUUCUUGUGAAGUCUUAUGAUUUAUUGUAAAAAGCCCUUUAGUAAGCUUGAGUAUUAUUUAAGCUGUAAAGGGAAAAAAGAUAGCAGUUGAAUCUGCUGAUGGUUG